UACGUAGGUGGCAAGCGUUGUCCGGAAUUACUGGGCGUAAAGCGUGCGUAGGCGGUUCGUUAAGUCUGUUGUGAAAGCCCCGGGCUCAACCUGGGAAUGGCAAUGGAUACUGGCGAGCUAGAGUGUGUCAGAGGAUGGUGGAAUUCCCGGUGUAGCGGUGAAAUGCGUAGAGAUCGGGAGGAACAUCAGUGGCGAAGGCGGCCAUCUGGGACAACACUGACGCUGAGGCACGAAAGCGUGGGGAGCAAACAGGG
rnacentral:rRNA from 1 species